rnacentral:rRNA from 1 species
UACGAACCGUGCGAACGUUAUUCGGAAUCACUGGGCUUAAAGCGCGUGUAGGCGGGUCGCCACGUCGGAUGUUGAAAUCCCCCGGCUCAACCGGGGAAUAGGCACCGAAACGAGCGGCCUGGAGGGGAGUAGGGGGACCUGGAACUUCCGGUGGAGCGGUGAAAUGCGUUGAGAUCGGAAGGAACGCCCGUGGCGAAAGCGAGGUCCUGGGCUCUUACUGACGCUGAGACGCGAAAGCCAGGGGAGCGAACGGG